GAAGAUGUGGAGGACAGUGAGGGAGACCCCCUCUCAGGGACAGAUGAGAAGAAAGAAUACUAUGACGAUGCCUUUCCUCUGGAGAGGAGUGCUGGACUGAUGGGGACAGAAGACA